rnacentral:rRNA from 1 species
AUUGAACGCUGGCGGCAGGCCUAACACAUGCAAGUCGAACGAGUGGCGGACGGGUGAGUAAUGUCUGGGAAACUAGCUUAUGGAGGGGGAUAACUACGGGAAACUGUAGCUAAUACCGCGUACCAUAGGAUGAGCCCAAGUGGGAUUAGGUAGUUGGUGAGGUAAAGGCUCACCAAGGCGACGAUCUCUAGCUGGUCUGAGAGGAUGACCAGCCACACUGGAACUGAGACACGGCCCAGACUCCUACGGGAGGCAGCAGUGGGGAAUAUUGCACAAUGGGCGCAACCCUGACGCAGCCAUGCCGCGUGAAUGAAGAAGGCCUUCGGAUUGUAAAGUUCUUUCAGUUGGGAGGCGUUAACUACAGAAUAAGCACCGGCUAACUCCGUGCCAGCAGCCGCGGUAAUAC